rnacentral:misc_RNA from 1 species
AAGUCGUAACAAGGUUUCCGUAGGUGAACCUGCGGAAGGAUCAUUAUUGAAUAUUCCUGAUGAGUUGUAGCUGGCUCUUUGGAGCAUGUGCACGCUUGUCUUGAUCUUAUUCAUCCACCUGUGCACAUUUUGUAGUCUUUUGGGCUGAGUCGAGUAUCGGAUGGAUGUCUAUCCGGAUGUGAGGACUGCUGAGUGCGAAAGCAUACGGCUCUUCUCUGUUUGACCUCACCCUUGAGUACUAUGUAUUCAUAUACCACAUAGUAUGUUGUAGAAUGUGAUCAUUGGGCCUUUGUGCCUAUAAUAAUCGUAUACAACUUUCAGCAACGGAUCUCUUGGCUCUC